rnacentral:tRNA from 1 species
GGGGAUGUGGCUCAGUGGUAGAGUGCUUGCCUAGCAUGCAUGAAACCAUGGAGGCAUCACCUCUG